AAACCAUGAUGUGGACAUCUCCUCAAAAAUUUCCCAAAGCACUCUCAUGUCUCGAAUAGAGAUUCAGAAUCAUAUUGUUGAAAUUUAGAGAUCUCUGUCAUUAGCCU